GGAGGAAAGCAGGGGAUCGCAAGACCUUGCGCUCAUUGAGCGGCCGAUGCCUGAUUAGCUAGUUGGUGAGGUAAAGGCUUACCAAGGCGACGAUCAGUAGCUGGUCUGAGAGGACGACCAGCCACACUGGGACUGAGACACGGCCCAGACUCCUACGGGAGGCAGCAGUGGGGAAUUUUGGACAAUAGGGGAAACCCUGAUCCAGCCAUGCCGCGUGAGUGAAGAAGGCCUUCGGGUUGUAAAGCUCUUUCAGCCGGAACGAAACGGUCACGGCUAAUACCUGUGACUACUGACGGUACCGGAAGAAGAAGCACCGGCUAACUACUACGUGCCAGCAGCCGCGGUAAUACGUAGGGUGCGAGCGUUAAUCGGAAUUACUGGGCGUAAAGCGUGCGCAGGCGGUUUUGUAAGUCAGAAGAGAAAUCCCCGGGCUUAACCUGGGAACUGCG
rnacentral:rRNA from 1 species